GGGGAAUAUUGGACAAUGGGCGAAAGCCUGAUCCAGCCGUGCCGCGUGUGUGAAGAAGGUCUUCGGAUUGUAAAGCACUUUAAGUUGGGAGGAAGGGCAGUAAGUUAAUACCUUGCUGUUUUGACGUUACCAACAGAAUAAGCACCGGCUAACUUCGUGCCAGCAGCCGCGGUAAUACGAAGGGUGCAAGCGUUAAUCGGAAUUACUGGGCGUAAAGCGUGCGCAGGCGGUUUUGUAAGACAGAGGUGAAAUCCCCGGGCUCAACCUGGGAACUGCAUCCAAAACUACUGAGCUAGAGUACGGUAGAGGGUGGUGGAAUUUCCUGUGUAGCGGUGAAAUGCGUAGAUAUAGGAAGGAACACCAGUGGCGAAGGCGACCACCUGGACUGAUACUGACACUGAGGUGCGAAAGCGUGGGGAGCAAACA
rnacentral:rRNA from 1 species